rnacentral:siRNA from 1 species
ACGGGCUUAGGAGCAGGUGAGUA